ensembl:processed_transcript AV026068 expressed sequence AV026068
CUGACUGCAGUCCUCAUGCUUGGAGUCAAACACUUUAACCACUGCACACGUUUAUGUAAUAGGAUUGACAUAUGAGAAUCAGAGAAAUGAAUGAAAGAUUAGAGGUAAGCAAGAGCCAAGUAAUAGUGGAGGUGAGAGGGGGAAGUGGGCGUGGCUGCUGAGAGGGGAAGUGGGCGUGGCUGUGUGAGAGGGAGAAGUGGGCGUGGCCGUGUGAGAGGGGAAGUGGGCGUGGCUGUGUGAGAGGGGAAGUGGGCGUGGCUGUGUGAGAGGGGGAAGUGGGCGUGACUACAAAAGGACAGCAAAGGAUUCCAGGCUCAAAGCAAACAAUUUGUAUUUAACUGUGGCAGAACUGAUAACCUAGUUGUGAUAUUGUGUAACAGCACUACUAAAGCUGUGUAAGAAGAUUGAAAGAUCUCUAUUUUUUUUAAAAUUGCUGCAUGAGAACAUUCAAAAAGCUUAACAAAAGUGGGAGAAAGUGCUUGCUGCCAAGCUUGAUGACCUAAAUUGAAUCCUGGAACCUACACGACAGAAAGAGAGAGCUGACUGCUGAAAGAUGUCCUCAGAUCUUCACAUAUGCACAGUGGCACCUAUCCAACCAUGCACAUAGUAUAUUAAAAAUUAUUUUUU